CUUUGGACCUCUCCCUCUUCCUCUCUUCUCUCUUUGAAGCUACAACAAGAGGUAGGCUUCUAACCCUAGUUGUGAAAUUUAGGGUUUUUGGGUUUUAGCUCUUUGGAUGGGAUCAAAUAGAUCCCUAGCACCAUGAAUGGUGGGAUUGAAGCUAGAAUCUAGGGUUUUGAGAUGGGUUUAGCUUGAUGUUAACCCUAGGGCACCAAAAUAGGGUUUUUGGUAAAGUAUGAGAUUGAUCUCAUUUGAGGCCUUGUAAACCUAAUUAGUAGGUGCCUAAACGCGGGGCGAAGUCGGAUUUAGCAUUCGUCGAGCGGGCGAAAAACUAUUGGCAAAACAGGACCGACCGAGCUUCAUUUGGACCAAGAGGGCUAAAGCCUCAUCGUAACGUCCGUUGGAGGGCAUUUCUAGAGCCUCCAUACCCUCAAAAGGUGGGGGGUGUCAUCCCGAAGCAUCCGGAUUUCUCCUUAUGUCUAUGGUAAUUUUAUUUAUCAUAUGUUGAUUGUGCAUUAUAGGAUUAGUAGAAGCAUAUUUCCAUUCCUUGCAUGCUUACUUAGUAGUGUAGCGGUAUGGGCUUGACACUUGGACUAGGGAGGUAUGAGGAUUGGGUCUUGAGACAAAGAAUCCUAUAGUGGCAAAAGUGAUGAACUUGGACAUAGCCUAGUAGAGUGGCAUUGACUAGUGUAGUAGAAACACUAAACUUGAACGAGUGGCAUGUCGACUAGUUAGAAGAUAUUACUACAACGAUUGAACGAGUGGCAUCAAGUCUAGUGUAGUAAACAUGACUUGGUUCUUGGGAUAGUAGAGGCACAUUGACCCUUGUAGAUAGGGUAUUCUCUUGAGAGGAUUGGAUCAUACUCACUAGUCUGUUUUCGCUGUCGGUGGUCGCUCGACCAUGACACGAAUCUCCGGAGUAUUUCACUAGAGGCAGACGUAGUUGUCCUGCAAACGGUCUCGGUGUGCGAAUGCAGCUUCUCCUCACCUAUAAGAUUGAGAGUGAGUCGAGGGUUUAACCUACGGGUUAACCAAGUAGAUUGGGUAAUAAACAUGGAAUGCAUAGUAGAUUUGCAUUAUUAUCUUGAGUAGACAUAGUGUAUGUUGUAGAUUGCAUUACUAUAUACUUUUAUAUACUCAUGACAUGAUACUAGCAUGAUAGUAGUUAUUGCAUGUAUUUUUAUCAUUGAUGGCAUGAGAGAGUAGUUGCAGUUCAUUUCUCCAUAUAUCUAUCUAUCUCUCUAUCUGUGCCAGCUUAGACCUAGUGGAAAAACCGGCGGCGUCGGCGGCCGAACCCACUGGGAACUAUAUUUAUAUAGUUCUCACCCCAUGUGGUUUUGAGGUACAGGUACACACAGGGACGAGCGGAGCGAGGAUCGCGGUAAGGGCAUAGCGCCCUAAGUGAGUUAGUUAGUAGCUUUUCCCUUAUGCAUUAGAGUAUCCCCGUGUACGAGACAUGAUGUGUAUUUUGGAUAGAUAUCGGAGGGCUACUUGUAUAUUUUGAAAAACAUGUAUUUACAUUUUAGCAGAUGAAAAUGUAAUGUAAUCAACUUAUGUAAAUAUUGAAUGGUUGUAAUAGCUAGAUAUUUCUCUCUUUAUACACUUGUACAUUCACUCGUGGUUCUUGCUCUUAGUUAUAGUGCACUUGUGUGCAUUGUGAUUGAUCAUGUAUGUUAUCUAAGCAAUUCCUGGGUGCUUAAUUGUACUUGAUCAGGUUGUUUGGCCUUGGGCGGGCAGGAAAGGUGCCGUCCGUUCGGUGUCCGUCCGCCGCGCCCGAACCGUGCCAAAUUGGUAGCGGUAUCGGGGCGGGGGCGUGACAGAGAUGUUGGUAUCAGAGCCAUUAAGAGCAAGUAAAGAGAAAGUCUAGGAUGGACCUAGGAGACCUAGGUUGGCAACCCUAAGGUGAUAAGUAUGUGAGAGAAACGUGAACCUAUAUCGGUUGAGGAAGAAUCCGAUUAGGUCGGAUCGAGUAUAGAUCUCUAGUAUGGCUAGAGAUAGAUCCGAGCGGUGCUAGUUCCGAGCUCGAGGAGUUUGUGUUGGCGGCCGACAACACGACGCUAAGAGUUAGGACUAAUACAUGGGUGUACGUCUGCUUAUGGUGGAGUUGAGUCGCGUAAUACCGUAUAUGCGACGAAAUUAAGUGGGUUAGAUGACUAACCCGGUUGUUGCGUUGCAGGAACGAUGUCCCCAAGACGCUACGUACGUAGUCCGUUCCGGCUUCGUCUCCUGAGGUGCCCGAGGAAGCCGGAUCUAGUGAAGUACAGGAGUUACGGGCGCAGGUGUCGGCAUUGACCGGCAUUGUACAAUGCCAGGAGAGUCGGUUCGAGCAGCUCCAAGGGCUUAUGGAGCGGCAUUUGGCGGUGGCAACUGCAGCAGCGACUGAGGGCCGUGACCCGCCCCCGCCUCCAGCUCGUGCACCUACGGCGACUGAGGGCGAGGGCAUUGCGGCAGUUCCGGUGGCGGCACGUCCUCCGUCAGCGAGCGUUCGUCCGACGGCGUCAGGUUCUACGACACCCGAUGCGACGGCAUUGGAGGCGGAGAGGGAGCGCGCGCUUGCGGCUCUCAAGAAAUUCCGAAGGUUCAAUCCACCGACCUUCGACGGGGAGAAGGUUAAGCCAUGGAUGGUCGAGUCAUGGGUGGACUCGAUGGAGACCUUGUUUGAGGACCUCUACACCUUAGAGAAGGACAAGGUCCCCCUCGCCACUCAUUGCUUGGAGCGGACGGCGAAGGUUUGGUGGAAGCGAGUCAAGCGUGACCGGGCUUCCGACCUUCCGUCGUUGACGUGGGAGGAGUUUCGGGGACUGUUCUAUGUCAACUACUUCCCCGAUAGCGAGAAGAAGAAGCUCCAGGAGCAAUUUCGAAAGUUGAAGUAGGGUAGCCGCACGGUAGCGAAAUAUGAGCGGGAGUUCUCUCAUAUCAUUGACUGUGUCCCCGACGUAGUGCGGGAUGACAGGGAUCGAGCCGAUUGGUUCGAGCGAGGGCUCCGGGAUGAUAUCUACCGGGCGGUGCACAUUCUGAAGCUCACUACCUUCGUGGAGGUGCUCGACAGAGCAUUGUGGGCGGAGCAAGGAAAUGCUCACAUCAGAGAGGAGCGAGAAGCGUCCGAGAAGGACGGUGGUAAGAAGCGGGCUCAGAGUAGUUCGGGAGCUCAAACUAAGUCAAGGAAGCCCCCGAAGCACCCGUGAACGCAAUUCAAGGGCCGCGGACCGCAGUGGUGCACAAUCUGUGGUGGGAACCAUGAGCCGAGGACGUGUGAACAACGGGAGGGGAAGUGCUUCACGUGUGGACAGGUGGGCCACAUCAGCCGCUACUGUCCAGUGAGGGCUUCGCCUGCCCCUUCAGUCGCAUCGGCUCCGGCGACUUCGGCGCAUUAUGGAGGAGUCCCGCCUGCUGCGUCAUCAGCUGGACGUGCGAUGGUACCACGCCAACCUAAGGCGACGAGAUCGGCUUCGAGCGGGCGGGUGUUCGCCGCCCAAACUCAAGCCGAGGAACCUGCUGAGGCGGAGGAUCGCCAUAUACUCGCAGGUAUGGUUUUUAUUAACGGAGUUUGCUCCAGGGCUAUAUUUGAUACAGGUGCUACACAUUCAUUCAUCAGCAGGUCAUUUGCACGCAUGCAUGACAUAGAACUACAAGAGAGUAAAAGCACUUGGAGAGUAUCGGGCCCCGGACGUGAUUUUCUAGUCCGUAAGGAGUGUUCGUUUUGUCCGGUGCGGUUGGGCGAUUGGAUAAUGCCCAUCCGUAUGUUGGUGCUCAAGAAGUUGAAAGACUUCGACGUCAUUCUAGGAAUGGAUUGGCUCUCGAAGUACUAUGUGACUAUUCACUGCAGAAGUAAAGUAAUUAUGUUCCGCGAUCCGGGCCAGGAAGAGUUCUUCUACCGGGCUUGUAGAAGCUCGUACUUCGCCGCCACGGUAUCGACGACGAGAGCAAGGAAGCUAGUUAACAGCGGUUGUAUGGCCUAUUUGGCGACCGUUGUAGAAGUCGAGAGGACGACUCCUGCGCUCGAGGAGCUGUCUGUGGUUCGGGAAUUUCCAGAUGUAUUUCCCGCGGAGUUACUGGAAAUGCCGCCAGACCGGAAGAUCGAGUUCGUGAUAGACUUGGUUCUAGGAACCGCGCCUAUCUCGAAGGCUCCGUAUCGGAUAGCGCCGGUGGAAUUGAAGGAAUUGCGGGCUCAGUUAUUGGAUCUCCUUGAUAAAGGGUUUAUACGGCCAAGUGUAUCGCUGUGGGGAGCCCCGGUCCUGUUCGUGCGAAAGAAUGACGGAUCGUUUCGACUCUGCGUAGACUAUCGCGAGUUGAACAAGGUCACGAUAAAAAAUAAGUACCUGUUGCCCAGGAUUGAUGAUUUAUUUAAUCAGUUGCAAGGAUCUCGGGUUUAUUCAAAAAUUGAUCCACAGUCCGGUUAUCACCAACUCAAGAUUAAGCCGGAAGAUGUACAAAGGACCGCGUUUCGCACGCGGUAUGGACACUAUGAAUUCACGGUCAUGCCGUUUGGGCUCACUAAUUCCCCGACGGCGUUCAUGGAUUUAAUGAACCGUAUCUUCAAGGAGUACUUGGACCGAUUUGUCGUGAUCUUCAUAGACGACAUCUUCGUCUAUUCUCGUAGCGACGAGGAAUUUGCCGAGCAUUUGAGAAUCGUGCUUCAAGUCCUUCGGGAGGACAAGCUGUAUGUUAAGUUUCAGAAAUGCGACUUUUGGCUCCGAGAGGUUGCAUUUCUUGGGCAUGUUAUUUCCGAGGGUGGAGUAUCUGUUGACCUGAGGAAAGUGGAGGCGAUCAAGGAUUGGCCUCGCCCGACUAACGUCACGAAAGUUCGAAGCUUCGUGGGUUUAGCGGGCUACUAUAGACGGUUUGUGGAGGGAUUCUCGAAGAUUGUGAUUCUACUUACCCGAGGAAAGUGGAGGCGAUCAAGGAUUGGCCUCGACCGACUAAUGUCACGAAAGUUCGAAGCUUCGUGGGUUUAGCGGGCUGCUAUAGACGGUUUGUGGAGGGAUUCUCAAAGAUUGUGAUUCUACUUACCCGUCUGACUCAAAAAGGCACCAAGUUCGUGUGGAGCGGUGAGUGUGACCGGAGUUUUCAAGAGUUGAAGAAUAGAUUGACUUCGACUCCAGUACUCACCUUACCGGUGCAAGAUGAAGACUUCGUGGUGUAUAGCGACGCGUCACAAUCGGGUUUAGGGUGUGUUCUGAUGCAGGGCGGGAAGGUGAUCGCUUACGCGUCCCGUCAGCUGAAGAGCUGUGAGAAGAACUACCCUGUUCACGACUUAGAGUUGGCCGCGGUAGUGUUUACUCUCAAGCUGUGGAGGCACUACUUGUAUGGCGCGCGUUGCGAGAUAUAUACGGACCAUAAGAGUCUAAAGUACCUAUUCACACAAAAGGAGCUCAAUAUGCGACAGCGGCGGUGGUUGGAACUACUGAAGGAUUUCGAUGUGACAAUCCUAUACCACCCUGGAAAAGCAAAUGUGGUGGGUGACGUGCUUAGCAGGAAAUCAGUGGAGAAUCUUGCUAUGUUAGUCACACGUCAGGAACCACUUAUUUUGAGGACGAAACUUCUUUUUAGGAGGGGAGGAUAUAAGAAAGUAAAUUCUCGAAAUACGAGAGUUAGACUUCAUCCAGAAUCGACCAAGGGUCGUGUUGGUGAACUUUGGAAAAGUCAAAGAUGUCAAAAUCACCAAAAGUGCAUUAGAAACGAGUCCACGAGAGUAAAUAGUGCAAAACCUGCACUAGAGCAAAACUGCUCUCGGGACCGGUCCCUGGUAGGGAGGGACCGGUCCCAUCGGUUGGUGGUUGCGGGGAUCCUUGUGGCAACCGAUCCCUGGCAGGGAGAGACCGGUCCCCGAACGUGACCCCAGCGAGAAAAGCCAAAAUUUGGCUAAGUCCCGAAAUCCCAGCUCUCAGGAACUGUUCUCUCAAGAGGGAACCAGUCUCCUGGGGACCGGUCUCUCAGGGAAGGACCGAUUCCCGAACGCGUGACCCGAGCUCAAGCUCUCGGGGACCGGUCCCAGGUCGGGGAGACCGGUCCCUCUGGGUGGAAACUGCCCAGUGAAGGCAGUGUACAGAGGCAAAAGUUGAGGGACUUAGUUGGAUAUUGUUACAUUAGAGGGGUAUGUAGGCCCCCUUUCUCUCUCCAACCCUCAUUUCUCCCUCAGUCUCUCACACUCUUUUCUCUCCCUCUCUCUCUCUAGAAAGAAAAGAGAAGGAAGGAGAAGAGAAGGAAAAUAAGGAAGAAAAGAAAGGAGAAGCGAAGGAGAUCAAGCUAGAGGAAGCUUUGGACCUCUCCAUCUUCCUCUCUUCUUUCUUUGAAGCUACAACAAGAGGUAGGCUUCUAACCCUAGUUGUGAAAUUUAGGGUUUUUGGAUUUUAGCUCUUUAGAUGGGAUCAAAUGGAUCCCUAGCACCAUGAAUGGUGGGAUUGAAGCUAGAAUCUAGGGUUUUGAGAUGGGUUUAGCUUGAUGCUAACCCUAGGGCACCAAAAUAGGGUUUUUGGUAAAGUAUGAGAUUGAUCUCAUUUGAGGCCUUGUAAACCUAAUUGGUAGGUGCCUAAA
rnacentral:lncRNA from 1 species